rnacentral:rRNA from 1 species
AGCGAACGCUGGCGGUAGGCCUAACACAUGCAAGUCGAACGGCAGCACAGGAGAGCUUGCUCUCUGGGUGGCGAGUGGCGGACGGGUGAGGAAUACAUCGGAAUCUACCUUUUCGUGGGGGAUAACGUAGGGAAACUUACGCUAAUACCGCAUACGACCUACGGGUGAAAGUGGGGGACCGCAAGGCCUCACGCGAUUAGAUGAGCCGAUGUCCGAUUAGCUAGUUGGCGGGGUAAUGGCCCACCAAGGCGACGAUCGGUAGCUGGUCUGAGAGGAUGCUCAGCCAGACUGGAACUGGGACACGGGCCAGACUCCUACGGGAGGCAGCAGUGGGGAAUAGUGGACAAUGGGCGCAAGCCUGAUCCAGCCAUACCGCGCGGGUGAAGAAGGCCUUCGGGUUGUAAAGCCCUUUUGUUGGGAAAGAAAUCCUGUCGAUUAAUACUCGGUGGGGAUGACGGUACCCAAAGAAUAAGCACCGGCUAACUUCGUGCCAGCCGCCGCCGUAACAC